CUAGCUAACUGAUGGCUUCACAGCUCUAUUCAGGGAUCUGUAAGCUGUUGCAACAACAACAAUUUUUAUUUAAAAAAAAUUAUAAAUGCUGGCUUAUAAAUUGAAUAAGUUGAAACGCUCAACUUUAGUUUGCGUUUGAAAUCGAGGGUCAAUAGACCGCAUAGAAAACAAAUGUGCAUCAUUAGCCGUAAUUUACUUCAUACGAGAGCAAUCAUUGGAAAUGUUUUUUGAUAUUUUACAAGUUAUUUUCGAUUUUAUUACGGGCUUAUUUUCUUUCGGUGGCGGAGACGAUGAUGACGACUCAGAGGAAUCCUAAGACCGACAUAGUUUUAUUUUUACCAUGUAUAUAUAUGUAUUUACAUACAUAUCUACAAAACAAAUUUAAAAUAUAUUUUUUUAAAUUAUUUAAUUAAAAAAAUGUUUUCAAAGGAGAAACUAAGAAAGCUUACAAUCGUCUUCCUAGCGCACUGAGGCAGCGAAGUCAUGCGCACAAGCUAAGAAAAUGGUCGCAAAGACACCGUCCAAUAUUCUUCUCUAAUAUGACUUGGCUUAUUUUACGCUACUGCUGCCUUGUAUUUCCUGAAAGAACUUUGUUUAGACUCUACAUGAAGUAUUAUGAAAGUGAGAGGACAAAAUAGAUCAUUAGGACUUAAUGCAUGUAUAUCUCAUCUCUAUACCUUACUAUGUACAUGUCUUUCUAUGUAUGUUUGUAUGUGUGCAUUCACAAUACAUAUGUAUGUAUUACAACCAUUUAUUUUCACUUAUUCAGUUUGAUGUCAAUUGUAUUUUCGUCGUGCUCAUCUGUGUAAUUAUAGUUAUUAUACUCAAAUAAUUACAUGGUCCAUUUAAUUUGACUAGCAUACAUAAGUGCUUACAUAUACUUAAGUUUAAAAAUAAAAUUCAGUUAUUCACAGUAAUUGGUGAACGCCGAAAAGGAGUAUAUAAAUAAAUAAAAUAUUCUGAAAAUGUUUUUCGACCUCUUCGGUGGACUGUUAGAGUUCAUAAUAAAUUUAUUAUUUCCAAGCUCUGGUGAUGAACCUGACUCAGAGGAAGUGGAGUCUAUGGAUAUUACAACUGAAGCUCAAGCAGAAAUUGUGCCGUGAAUAUCAAAUAUGCAUGUUUGCAUAUAAACGAAUCUAUAUGUAAUAUUAACUUAUUAAAAAAAAAUGUUUUGUUAUAUUUAUUCACUACAACUUGCACUUAAGCACGUAUCGUUUUCUCACAUUGUUGAAUAUGAAUAAUGAAGUUGCCACUUUUGUUCGCUUUAUCGAAGUUAAAAGUGUUAAACUCAUUAUAAUGAAUUUGUUCUGGGAGUGUUGAGUGUUGAAAAAAUAAUUACAAAAUGUAUUAAUAUAGGAGAAGUAGGAAAGUAAUUAACCGGCAUGGUGUUGUGCACUGCAAAGCAAAUUAGAGAUGAACACGAGACUCCGAAGAGAAAGCGUAACACUAAACUUUCGUUAAAAAUAUAAAAUUACUUAUGCAAAAUAUAUCUGUUAAGAUCGUUGAAAUUUGAUUGUUUUUGUGGUUGUUGUAACAACAUAAACAUUCUACAUGCUGCUGAAGUGCCAGUCCUCGGCCGGAUAUAAAUCCGGGUCGUUUCGGUUACGUAGAACCGACUGUCGUGGGAUUUUAUUGUUUUUGUUUUACUAUAAUUGUAUAUAAGAAUGAAACUAUGGUUAAUAUGCUGAAGUAGACAAAAUACCUAUCAAGACUGGGUUGUGUUGAUUCUUGACGUGGAGUAGGACUAGAUAGAAAUUGGCUGCAGUGUUUGCUUUUUCGCGAUAGUUUUGGCAUCAACGAAACUGGAAAGCAGUAAGAUCUUGGGAUGUUGUUGUUGUUGUAACAACAUAAAACACUUCUCAUAUAUUCUGGGGUGAUGCUGCUGAAGUGACAUUCAUUGGCUUGAUGAACAUACAGGGUUUGAUUGAAAAUUAAUGAGCCUUAUUUUUUUAAGCAGUUUUAUUAAACCCUUUGGCUUAUACAACUAAUAUUCUUCAAAAUAGGACCCUUGAGCGUCAAUACACCGUUGGCAGCGGUCCGUCCACUGCAGAAAACAUUUUUUAAUCUCAUCCGCCGGAAUCGCGUUCAAUUCGGCUGUCACAGUUUUUUGGAUCGCCUCGAUGGAAUCGAAACGCCUCCCCUUCAGCUUUCUUUUCAGGCGCGGGAACAAGAAGAAGUCCGGAGGGGACAUGUCUGGGCUGUAGGGAGGGUGGGGAAGCACCGGAACCCCCAACUUUCGUUGGAAUGGAUUUAUAUAAUAAGUGUGACUACCCUAAGGUAGAAUGUUGCAACCAAUCGAGAUAGAAAUUUUUAUGCAAUUUGCAAUAUUUUCCAUUUUUGAAUUAUCAAGUGCUCACCUGAUGGCAUUGUUGUUGUUGUUGUAGCAGCUUAGUAAACUCCGUCAGUGCGGCGUCGUCACCGGUCGUCUUCGUCUAAUUCAUCUAAUGGUAGACUCAGAAAACGUGCUGUUCGACAGGUUGGGCCCAGGGGGAGACGGGUGUUAGGUGAGUUGGUUUGUUAGGGUAUGUGAAUAGAUGGUUAGUGUCGUGCGGUGUGCCUUCACAUGCUGGAUAUAUAUUGGGUAUGUCGGGGUCGAUUCUGGUUAAGUAUGUAGGAGUUUAACCUGCCACAAUUUCCAGAACCUAAUUGGGUCAAAGUGACGCAGAUCUCGCAAGGCAGUUGAAGCUCUUCGUCUGCAGUUUGAGCUAACAAGCAAAGGCUUACCAGAAAUAUUUGUAGACCAUUGCAUCCUUUCCGGCUAAAUGAUUUACCACUGUGCUAAGUAUAUUGCUUUGAUUGGUCUGAAGCUUUCUGAUAGGGUAGUACAUUUUUUAGUGUUGUCACGUUGCCUUUCAGACUCGUAGCAGAAGCUUUUCUUCAACGCUAUUAUGCAUGGCCGUAGAAGUUUUUGUGGGUUUGUGGGUUAUUAAAUUCAUACAACACUGAUGAAAGCAGCUUUAAAAUCGUCAAAGAAAUGGUGUAAAUUUAUGCUGUUUGUCUUAUCACGGGAUUUUGUUGGAAUUUUAUAUCAUCAUCAUAUAAAUCAUUUCUCAUAUCAAUUUGACAAAAGACUCUAAACACCGACUCGUGGGCGUACUUCUAAUCAUAUUUUGUUUAGGAGUUCUACGUGCUCAGGAAUUUAAACAGCCCGGCAGGUAAUCCAUGCGCGAUAUUAAAAAUUACA